UGGGGAAUUUUGGACAAUUGGGCGAAAGCCUGAUCCAGCAAUGCCGCGUGUGUGAAGAAGGCCUUCGGGUUGUAAAGCACUUUUGUCCGGAAAGAAAUCCUUGGCUCUAAUACAGUCGGGGGAUGACGGUACCGGAAGAAUAAGCACCGGCUAACUACGUGCCAGCAGCCGCGGUAAUACGUAGGGUGCAAGCGUUAAUCGGAAUUACUGGGCGUAAAGCGUGCGCAGGCGGUUUGCUAAGACCGAUGUGAAAUCCCCGGGCUCAACCUGGGAACUGCAUUGGUGACUGGCAGGCUAGAGUAUGGCAGAGGGGGGUAGAAUUCCACGUGUAGCAGUGAAAUGCGUAGAGAUGUGGAGGAAUACCGAUGGCGAAGGCAGCCCCCUGGGCCAAUACUGACGCUCAUGCACGAAAGCGUGGGGAGCAAACAGGAUUAGAUACCCUGGUAGUCCACGCCCUAAACGAUGUCAACUAGUUGUUGGGGAUUCAUUUCCUUAGUAACGUAGCUAACGCGUGAAGUUGACCGCCUGGGGAGUACGGUCGCAAGGUUAAAACUCAAAUGAAUUGACGGGGUCAUAGCUGUUUCCU
rnacentral:rRNA from 1 species